GAUGAAGAACGCAGCGAAAUGCGAUAAGUAGUGUGAAUUGCAGAAUUCAGUGAAUCAUCGAAUCUUUGAACGCACAUUGCGCCCUUUGGUAUUCCUUAGGGCAUGCCUGUUCGAGCGUCAUUUAAACCUUCAAGCUCAGCUUGGUGUUGGGUGACUGUCCGCUUCACCGCGGACUCGCCUCAAAAUUAUUGGCGGCCGGUACAUUGGCUUCGAGCGCAGCAGAAACGCGAACUCGGGCCCGUCGUAUUGGCUCCCAGAAGCUAUCUUCACAAUUUUGACCUCGGAUCAGGUAGGGAUACCCGCUGAACUUAAGCACAUCAAUAAGCGGAGGA
rnacentral:misc_RNA from 1 species